UACGUAGGGGGCAAGCGUUGUCCGGAUUUAUUGGGCGUAAAGAGCGUGUAGGCGGUUCGGUAGGUCCGUUGUGAAAACUCGAGGCUCAACCUCGAGACGCCGAUGGAAACCCCCGAACUAGAGUCCGGAAGAGGAGAGUGGAAUUCCCGGUGUAGCGGUGAAAUGCGCAGAUAUCGGGAAGAACACCCGUGGCGAAGGCGGCUUUCUGGGACGGUACUGACGCUGAGACGCGAAAGCUAGGGGAGCAAACGGG
rnacentral:rRNA from 1 species